rnacentral:lncRNA from 1 species
GGAACAUCGGAUUACUCAUCUGGUGGCAGGUGGGUGUCGGAGCUGGCUGUGGACCCCACCGUCUGUAGCCAGUCCGCAGCAGCUUUCCUCUCUGGCAAACUCACAGCAAGCAUGCAGGGUGAUAAAACGGCAGUGACAAAUCCAGUGCAAUCAGGUGGGAAAUCCCCCCUGAGUAAUAACACCUCCUCAUCGCUCAUCCCGACCUCUUCCCCUGAGCCCCGCGUCUGCCGCUGAGAACUCAGCGCUGUUUUACCUUCAGCCCUGAGCUCCGCACAGGAAAAAGAAGAGAAAAGUGAGACACGGGAGUCUGGAGGAUCUCAAUCAAUGGUCAGAAAGGAGUACCCAGAAUGUCUACUGAUUGCCUCACUCCACGCAGAAUAUGCAACAUUCAUCCUUUCUCUAUCGCACCCUCCCUGCAUCUCCCAUCAUUCUUGACUCAGAGAAGAAGGCGUCAAGCAUCCUUUCAAGUACCUUCCCCAGGGUUGUCAUCAACUUAACUCCUCUUCAGUUUCCACUGCUACUAGUAAAGUAAUCAUGAUUUACGAAGAAUCCAUGGAAAAAUUUUGCAUCUAUUAAUUAUCUGACUUAAUCUUUGCCAGAUCGUUAUUAAGCAAGAAUUACUAUUACCCUGAUUUUCACAGAUGAGGAAAUUGAGGAUAAGGAAAUUUAGGAACCUGCCUAGAGUUACACAACAAGGAAGUUGCAGAGGGGAGGGUUUUUGCCAAGGUUUCUAUGAUUCCAAUGUUAUCACUUUUCUAAUGCAUCUGCUGACCGAGACUGAAGAAUCAACUACCUCCUCCAGAAGGUCAGUCACCCAAGAAAUCUCUGGGACUGAGGAGAACGGGGGAACAGGAGACAGAUCGGAGAGGCUGGGACAUGGAGAUUUGCUUCAGAUGCAAAGAACUCAUCUCCUAGAAUUUUGCAGCAUCUUCCAGAGUCUAAGCUUGUGUUUUGACGUGCCCUUUCCAAGACACUGGGAUACGUGAAGCUCAGUGAAUCAGGAGCGUUUACGGAGGAGAAAGAAAAUAAGAUCUUCUCCCCAGCUAAAAAUCCAGGCAUUGUCCUUGGCUGGAAAACCUCUCUUGGAUUGUAUGGACAGACUGAAAAUACAUCUUAGCAUCCAAACAUAGACAGCCAGGGCAUGGACUCAGGCUUGAUGCCCAAAGAGAUCCUCAUCAUCAUACCUUAGAAGUACCACAUCCUUUGUUCUUCCUGGCUAAACCCCUUCAGCCAACAUCCCUGCCUGCAGGGUAAGCAAUUUACUUACAGUUAAACUGCUAAUAAGUAGGGAAUCAUGGAUCAAUCAGAAACACUAAAUAUUUCAAAAUAUUUAGGGUCAAUAUUUCAAAAAACAUUGCAACAUUUGUACAUUUACCUGCUACAAGUUUGCAUGGGCAGGAACCAUAUCAAGUCCAUUAAAAUUCCUGAUUUCCUUAUGUCUAGCAAAAUCUUUGAUCACUAGUUAUGUAUAUUUCAGUUAAUAAAAAUGAAGAGCAUGAGUACUCUUCCAUAAGAAAUGCAGCGUGUUGGGAUAUACAGAAUUUUGCAAAACAGAGUAGAAUGGGGAUGGUUAUCAUAACGCAGUGGGCCCAUCAGUGUAGUGGAGUUCAACAUUUUUGAUUCCUUCCAAAUUUCCAGAUUUCAUCUUUGAUGUUGGGAAUGUAAAGACUGAUAUAGCACAAUCAUGGUCCUCCAGAAAUGUAUCAGAUUGUUGGGGAAACAAAUAGAUGCAGAAAUAGUUAUCUGCGUGAUACAGCAAAUACAAACAUGUGCAAGAUGCUCCAAGGAUGUAGAAAGAGAAGCCCUGGUUGGGCUUGUGUGGAGGAGAUGUGGGAAAGGGGGCUUUCUCAAGGAAGCAAUGUCUGAACUCAGACGUGAAGGAACAGCAGAGCUUACCCUCCCCACAGGAGGUUGUACUGUACAGCAUGAGCAAAGAAAGGAGGAAGGUGUAAAGACAUUACCUUUGGUGCAAAGAUUGGCAUAGCUGUCCCACAACCUAUUUGAAUUAACAUUUGUCAAUGAGACACCAACAUCAAAUGCUAUCACUGACAUGUGGAAUCUAAAAAAAGGACACAAUGAACUUCUUUGCAGAACAGAUACUGACUCACAGACUUUGAAAAACUUACGGUUUCCAAAUGAGACAGGUUAGCGGGUGGGGGGAUGCACUGAGGGUUUGGGAUGGAAAUGCUGUAAAAUUUGGUUGUGAUGAUUGUUGUACACCUAUAAAUGUAAUAAAAUUCAUUAAGUAAUAAAAAAGGAAAAAAAAACUUUACAAUGAUAUAUAAAAAAUAAUAAUGUUUAUCAUGGUAGGUCUCCAUGCAUUAAGAAUUUACUGAGAGGCUAUUCUAUGCCAAGCCUAACAGUGGGCACCCAGGGUGGAUAGCUCAAAUGUCAUGUCUCCAAAAAUCCACAUUUCAGGAGAGAAAACGAUGCAACACUGUGCAAUGAGCUUGAAAGACCUCACCCAUAAUACAUGCUGGACCAGGAGCUUUAUUUGGUAGAAAUGCUUUGAGAAUAUUUUUUUUGUUUUUAUCUUGCCACUGGAUGUGUC